CUUGGAUCAGACCAACGGACCAUGUACUCUAGCAUCCUGUUCUCACAGCAGCCAACCAAAUGACUGUGGGAAAACCACAAGUAGGAUUCGAACGCAGGAGCCCUAAGACAUUUUUCAGAAGUCUAUAACUGCUAUAACAGAACAGAACCACCACAGAAAUGGCAAUAAGCAUCUCUUUUUAUUUACAGCCAUAAGUUUCACACAACUUCUUCUUGAUAGUCACAAGAAUUAAAAUGUCCUAUUAAUGUUUUUGUUUAAUUUUUUAGGAAUGCAGAUAUAUGGAAGCAUGGAUAGAACAAGUUUACUCUGUAGCAUUUGUUUUUGACGUUUGAGAGCCGAAAUGUUCGGCAACUAAGCCAUUCAAUAUCCAAGAUGAAAUGAUCCAACCGUAGGAGCCCACCAGGUCUUUUAGCACUCUGGUGACCAGUGAGCCAGCAGAGGAAGGUGUCACAAUGGCUUCUGUAAAUCUGGGGCUGUCUCUUGCAAAGAGGGACACUUGGCAGGUCUGCUGAGGUGCCCAGAUGGGAGACCGCCAGGGAACCCAUGAUAUGGUGCUUAGAAUUAUACAGACAAAAUGUACUAUGUAAAUACAUACAUAUAUAUAUAUAGACACACUGUCCUUUUUGUCUUUUCUCAUGCAAUAAUAUUUCACUAAGUCAGAAAGAGGCCUUCUGCUCAUGAAAGGGCACCUGUGGACCUAAGCCUCCAAAAUAGCUCUACUUGGGAGUAAUUUUUUCUGACCCCAGUGGAAAUUAGUUCCUAGUGAGAAUGCUUGGGAUUGUGGUAUAAGGAACAUGACCUGACACUGCUGCCAAGAAAGGGGAUAGCUAGCUUUAUUCAAGUUUGCCACGUGUUGGGGGGCUCUAAGAAGAAUCCCAUGCUUGGGUGGUACAUCAAGAAAGAUUUCAAAAAUGUGUGUGGCACGGUGAGAGAGAAGAGAAGAGUUGUGUCAUUCACACAUUAUUAAGAAUGCCACACACAUGAGCCCUUAGACACCUCUGGAAGUUGUGCACAAUGGCUUCCACAUCUUGCUGGGCUACACAGCUCCCACCAUGAGUGCACGCAGCAAAUGGGACUGUGAACAUCAGGAUUCAGCCUACGCAGUUGUCCUCAGCAACAAAAGUUACCGGGGCACAUUCUUCGUUUUUAUACUUCAUUCCAAAUCUGGGAUUCAGUGCAGGAGAUUUCAGUAUCUUUGACUUGAGAAUACCAUUUCCUCAUGGCCAUUCCUUGGUGGCUUUCUGGGAUGACAGUUUUAGACAGGAAAUUGGAUGGGCUGGGUUUUUUCUUUGUUUGUUUUUUUUUGACAUUUUAAAGGUUUGUAAUGGUGGUUUUAAUAUGUAAACUGUUUAAAAAAAACAGCCUCCAACAUUUUCCCAAUAAAAAUAGGGACGUCCCAUUCCAUAAUGAUAAUUUUACUCUUUAUACCCCACACAUAUUACUGGGUUGCCCCAGCCACUCUGGACAGCUUCCAACAUAUAUAAAAACAUAAUAAAAUAUUAAACUUUUUUUAAAAAAACCCUUCCCUAUACAGGAUUGCCUUCAGACGGCUCAGGGGUUGGAUAACUCCAUACACUCCUACAUUUCUCCAAUAAAAAUAGAGAUAUUCUAAGGAAAGGUGGGACUUUCUGGGAUCAAAUCAGAAACCAGGAUGGCUUCUCUAAAUCAGGGACAUCCCUGGAAAAUAGGGACACUUGGAGGGUCUGAAAAAUGUGUAUUGUUUCAACUCUGUGUGAACCACCCAGAGAGAACUUUGCUGACUCGGCAGUCAAUAAAGGUAUACAUAAAUACCGUAAGUGCAUGAAAAGAAUCCACCUGGAAACAUUAAGAACAGUUUCUGUCAGGCAUGUCUUCAUAAAUUACUCUUAAAAAAACCAAACCUAUGCAUACGUUUUCCUCAAUCUGUAGAUAAUGUAAUGGCAUUUCUCAACUAACCCAUUUAUUGACCUAGAAAGUUCCCAGAUCUUCCAUAUUAUGCCCAAAGACACAAAGGAAAAAAGGGGUUUUCAGCCCUGUCCUGUUUAGGAAUUAAUAAUAGCUGCAGAAAGGAUUAAAUGACUUAAGAGAGGGAGGCCUCCCUUUUGGUGAAAUGUCCUUUGGGCCUAUUCCAACAUAAGCCAUGCUUUCUUCUUUUGUUUACCCGCACAUAAAUGAAGCCGUAACUGGUAGCAGACACUGCACAGUCCAGCUGAUGACUGAUGGGCGGAAGAGAUCUGG